UACGAAGGGUGCAAACGUUGCUCGGAAUUAUUGGGCGUAAAGCGCACGUAGGCGGCUUCUCAAGUCAGGGGUGAAAUCCUGGAGCUCAACUCCAGAACUGCCUUUGAUACUGAGGAGCUCGAGUCCGGGAGAGGUGAGUGGAACUGCGAGUGUAGAGGUGAAAUUCGUAGAUAUUCGCAAGAACACCAGUGGCGAAGGCGGCUCACUGGCCCGGUACUGACGCUGAGGUGCGAAAGCGUGGGGAGCAAACAGG
rnacentral:rRNA from 1 species